UACGUAGGGGGCGAGCGUUGUCCGGAAUCAUUGGGCGUAAAGAGCGUGUAGGUGGACUGGAAGGUCUGGUGUGAAAGCCCGGGGCUCAACCCCGGAGGGUCACUGGAAACCAACAGUCCUGAGUCUGGAAGAGGAGAGUGGAAUUCCUGGUGUAGCGGUGGAAUGCGCAGAUAUCAGGAGGAACACCAAUGGCGAAGGCAGCUCUCUGGUACAUGACUGACACUGAGACGCGAAAGCGUGGGGAGCGAACAGG
rnacentral:rRNA from 1 species